rnacentral:tRNA from 1 species
GAAUAAGAAGCGACUUUUGCAUUCAGUUUCGACCUGACUCUAGGUAUCUUCAUACCCUUAUUCU